UUCAAAAACCUUGAAAAUACUCGUGCUUCAAAGAAUUUUUGCUGCUUGGAUUGGAGUAGUGUAGUCUUCUACCUUUUUAAUUAAGGUGCACUGGUCGUGAAAAUGAUUAUGCUUCGAACUCUUUUUCUGCAUGAAGGGCUAGUGGUUGUUCUCUCAUAGGAGAUUUUGGCACUAGUUAAACUUCAAAAAAAAAUAAAAAUGAAGAGGUUAAAAGAAUUCAAAAGAAAAAAAAUUGGAGCCAAACUUUUUCCUAAUAUUAAUGGAGUACAUGACUCAUUUGUUUUGUGUGAUCACCAUUUGGUUAAUGAAUUGUGCACAAAAUUUAAUAAGAUACGGAUCCUCUGCUAUGAUUUUAGUCCCCUUAUAGGAUGGAUCGUACUUUGGAGCACAUGUGGUAGUUCCUACUCACACUCACAAAUACAUAUUGGUUGGUCCAUUAAAAUGCAAAUAUCACCUCUCAUAUCAUUAUGCGAACAUUGGGCACAAGAGUUGUGUUUCCACCGUUGACAAGGGAUUGGAAGAUCUAGCUCGACGGAAAAAUAAGGAAUAAAACUUAUAGAAGCAUGCAUGCCGUCUAUGUAUUGUUGUUAUCAUGGCGAUACUAAUUCGGCAAUUUCUAAUGGGUGAAUUAAAAAAACAUUUUUAAUCUAUAUAUGUAAAGUUAAAUAUCAUUAUGGUUAAAUUUUAAAAUAACUCAUUUAAGAAAAAUUUCAAAACACAGGAAUUAAUUCAUUUUGAAGGGACAGAUACAUUUAUUUAAAAAAUAAUAAUUAAAAGGAGAUAAGAAUCUAUGACCAACAAGAAUUCUAUAUAUAUUACUGUUGAUGCUCAAAAUUAAUGUGAUGAGAAGUUGAAGGAUAUUUAAAGCCCAAUAUACUAUAUAAUGUUGGCAGUCCCGAUCUCUUGGAUCACAUGAGUCCGAGAGAUUGUGGUCACCCACCGUUGGAUAUUAAUCCAAUGGUUCAAAAUGAUAUAUAUAAAUGCAAUAUGACAUAAAUAAUUAUUACCCGAUUUAAGUCAACCGUUGAAUUUAUAUCUAACGGUGAGUGACCAUAACUCUCUUGGACUACAGGGGUCCAAGAGAUCAGGACUGAUAAUGUUGGCUAUGUGUUAAUCCAAGCUAUAUUUUGGGAAGUAAUUCAUUAAAUAAAUAUAGAAAUAUUGUACAAGUCGUGCCAAGCAAGAUACAUUUUCCUAUGCUAAACUACCCGACAAACUUAAAUGGACCUAAGCCACAUAUAUGUAUGGAGAUUGCUGAACGAGUUGUGGUGUGGAUGGUUAUAAUUGUUCAUAAAGCCCGUUGAAGGAUCAGACAAUAAAAGUUUUAGGGCUGCUUGGGAGUACAAAAACUCAUACCCACUUUCCUGAGCCUAAUUACAUGGGUAAGUAGAGACAGAACUUCCAGCCUCUUCCAAAACUCAAACCCACUUUACUGCACACUCAUGGAAAAACCAACUGUUGAGCACUGUACACUCAUGAAUCCUUCUUUGCACAAUCAUUCUAUAGCCUAUAAAUAGACCUUCAUCCCUCCUUGCAAUACACACACCGAAACCAGAAGAAGAACGGCAUGAGGCAAGCUCAUCCUCCCACUGCCGUAAACACAGAAAGCCCAAGCCUUCCUCCAUCACGCUUCUCUUCUUUCAUAACACCACUCCAAGCCCUAAACAUCACACAGAAAACCAUCCCAACUCCCGAAAACACCACAUGCAUCUCACCUUCAACAUAUCUUAUUCCAAUCCAAGCCGCAAAAGCACUCUCUCUUACUAAACUUAUGGAGACUUGUUCUCACACCAUAAGCCUCUCAAGCCAAGCAUCAUAUUGAUUAACUGAAGCAAGCUCCAAUUAAUGCGAAGCGUACAGUAUCGACAUAGUUGCUCUUUACUAGAGACCACUUCCUCUAGCAUCUUCUCCAGCACUAUUAAUUCCACUACUUACAGCACAUAGUUCACUUCAAGAAAAGCACUUCCAACGCAACAAAAUCAAGCAUAAUCAUUCCAGUACCUAUUAAUUGUACAUCAAAACCUGUAAGGAGCCACUGAAUAUAACCAAAUCACUACCCUGUCUUAAACUCUUUCGGGGUGCUUUGGGGCCUGGUGCUGCAAACUCAAAAAGGGUAAAGGAGAUCUCAGUCCACCUCACAUUAGUCCAAUAAGCCCAUUGCAUCUCUCAACAAAAUAGACCCUCAUACAAAUGGCGACUCUGCUAAGGACUAGGCCAUUAUUCUUAGAGCGGCUCCUCAACAAUCACAAACUUUGUGAUUCGUAAGUCACGCCACUGGGGGCUUCAUGCAAAGCAAGUUUUCCGUUGCCUUCUUCAAGUUCUUCCUGCAGCAGGAGAGAUGAAAUCGUUAAUUUUUCUUUGUAUUCAGUAUUUAUUGCUAAAAAAAAAGUUCUUUCGAUCAAUCAAGCUGCUAAAAAAAAGGAGUUAAGCAUCCAGGAGCUGUUGAUUUUAGUUUUCUUCCUGGAACAAUUAGAGAAAAACAAACCAAAUUCUACAACCAUUUGCUGACCGAAGUGGUUUAGGCUUCAUGCCAAGGAAAUUUAGAAAAACAAUAUAAAUAUCAGAGAGAGUGAAUCACUCAAACAGAAACCAAUCCAACAUCAAACAUCCAUCUGCCAACAAUAUUUUAGUCCUCCAUGGUUCUCCUUUUCUUACCAGAUAAAAGAAAAAAAAUGAACGAAAAGCAAAAGAGACAGAAUAUACAAAAACUUAUGUGAAAGCAUCUUCACUUGCUCUGCCCACAGCUCACCAAUCGUGGUCACAAGCACAAGAUAUGAAUUUUGCCACCAAUGCCUCAAGGGUUGAAACGAAAUAACCCCUUGCUAUCACCUUUCUCACAGCGAAAGGAAGAUUUUCUCUGCAAAUUUACACAGAUCGACCACCACCAUCGCUGCAGGACCAGCCAGCUUGCAAUAAACAAUGCAUGAAUCUCCACGUACGGCACCCACUUCAUGCGCCAAUAUUAUAAUGUUAGCCGUGUGUUUUUAUAGUGAGAGUGAGACAGGGCAUGCAACUACUCGCUCAACCCAACUCACCCUGCGCUAGAUUUUUCAUAUCUUUGAAUUAUUUGGUUUUCAGGCACCUAAGGCUUAAAAUAACUUAUAUUCUUUGAAAUUUUUUAUAGGAACUAGUUGUGGCAGAGGUGAUGGGUGGAACGCACCAAGUUAAUUAAAUAAAAAGAAGGCUUAAAUUUCAAAAUGGUCCCUGUAAUUUACUUCAUCGGUCAAUUUAAUUCCCCUAUUAUCAAUUUGGCCAAUUUCGUCCAUGUGUUUAUAUAUAUUAGCAAAACUUCAUCCUUUCCGUCAAAAUUCUGUUAAAACUGAAGAAAAAAAAUAUUUUAAAAUCAAUUUAAAAAACUGCAAUUAAUUAUUAAAUAUUCAAAUUCAAUCUAAAAAUUGAAUUAAUAAAAAAAAAUUGCCUCCCCCAAUUUCACGCUCAGACCUCAACCACCUCCCAACCCCACCUAAACCACCAUUUUUUCUCUCGCACCUUACUCUCCGGCAAAUUGCAAAGAACUUCGUAGCCAGUCAUUGCAGCGCUUGGCUCUGCCAGUUCAUCAUCCUUGUUGUAGCAGAAGUUGGCGACAUUCACACAAACAACAUGCACACUGUAGAUUCUAUAACCCUCUCGAACCCUCGUCGUUGUUUGCACCAAGACCACCGUUGAGCUCGAUUUCUCAACAAGAUUUGCACUCUGCUUCGUCUGGGCGUUGGUUAAUCCGAGAUGAUAGUCUAGGUUGGAGUGGGCUACUAGACCCCCCUUUUCAACCCAAUACAAGAACAUGACUUUUAAUAAUUAAGUUUUUAUUAUUAUUUGAAUUUGAAUAUUUACAUGACCUUUUUUUCUUAAGUUUUAACAGAAUUUUAACAGAAGGGACCACAUUUUCUAAAAUAUACAAAAACAUGGACUCAAUUAGCCAAAUUGAUAACACGAGGACUAAAGUGGUCAAUGAGUUAAAUUUGGAUCUAUAUCUAACUUUUCUAUUUUUUUUAUAUACCAAAACUACCCUCAUCCUUUUCAAGAUAUUCUCAACUCUAAGUACCCUCCUCCUAUCGUUCUCCUUCUUGCCAAUCUCAUCAAAACCCAUCGGAGGAGCUUAUUCCUCCUCCUCAUCCCCACCCCCACAGUAGCCCCAUCCUCAUCCAUGUAGCAGCCCCACCCCCUACCGUGCCAAGGGUAGCAUUCAUAUGUUCAAUCAAUGCUUGAAAUGGUAAAAAUGAACAACAACAAAAUUAACGAUAUAGUUUAUGGUUCUAUUUAAUUCAUUCGCCCUUUCAAACCAGUUGAGUAAAGGCCAUUAGACCCACUAACAGGGCCUAGUCUCGUGGAAAAUAUUGUUAACUUGACAGGACCCGCCCCGAAUUUCCCGAAACCCAAGACGAAUCUUGUGAAAAUUCCGAUAUCACUCCGAUGUCGAACCCAGUCACUAAAACUAAAGCCUCCUUUUCCAAAAGGAAUAAAGGCACGAGACUUUCUGCCGAAAUUUAGGCAGUCUCCCUCGUAAAUUGAACAUUCCCAAAAUUUCAACCUGCAAUAAAACACAAUUUAAAAAGCCAACUACCAGCACACACAAUGUAAUAGCACACAGUUUACAGACAAGGCCUCCAGCCUUCAAAUAAAUCAAGGCAGAACAACUAGUAGUACUCUUAAGUGAAUUAAUAUACUGACAAUGCAACUAAGGAACUCAAAUAAUUUUACAAGUACCACUGCAGUCAACAUGAAAUAACUUCCCAAGUUUUCAAUCUGCAAAGACACAAUAAUACUUCUCACAAAUUUCUAGCAUGCAUCAACUACCAUCUAUGAAUUUUCACCAAUAGUCCCAGGGGCCUCGGCCCAUAAUACCAUAUAAUCAAACCUAAAAACAUGUAUAACGUUUAGUCAACGACUGCACCUAGGCGCUACCCUAGGUUGCCUACGUACCCUUACUGAGGGAUCAAGCCACACGUAGUUCUUUCUACUAAAUCCUAAUUCCAAACACAUACAAUACCUUUAUUCAUCUCUCUGUUAAUCACAUAAUCUCCCCAUAUGCCGAAACAUCCAACGCCAUGUAUGGAGUCUGUCAGCAUGCCGAAAAAUCCUACUCCACGUGUGACCUAACAAUCAUAUCAUCUCCCCAUACGAGGCGUAUGAGGUCUGUCCUCACGUCGGAAAAUCCUACGCCACGUGAGACCUCACAAUCACAUAAUCUCCCCAUACUCUGGAACAUCCAAAGCCACGUAUGGAGUCUGUCGACACGCCGAAAAAUCAUACUCCACGUGCGACCUAACUAUUACAAUAUCUCCCUAUACGUCGAAAAAUCCAACACCACGUAUGAGGUCUGUCCUCACGCCGGAAAAUCCUACAUCACGUGGGACCUAACAAUUACAUAAUCUCCCCAUACGCCGGAACAUCCAAAGCCACGUAUGGGGUCUGUCACAACGCCGGAAAAUCCUACGCCACAUGAGACCUCACAAUCACAAUAUCUCCCCAUACGCCAGAAAAUUCAACGCCACGUAUGGGGUCUGUCAGCACGCUAAAAAAUCCUACGCCACGUGUGACCUAACAACAAUCAUAUCAUCUCUCCAUACGCCGGAACAUCCAAUGCCACGUAUGGGGUCUGUCCUCACGCCGAAAAAUCCUACGCCACGUGGGACCUAACAAUCAUAAAUCUCCCUAUACGCCGGAACAUCCAACGCCACGUAUGAAGUCUGUCUCAACGCCGGAAAAUCCUACUCCACGUGAAACCUAACAAUCACCGGAUGGUACUUACACAGUGUAAUCAUCAUCUUUAUAACUUUAAAAUAUAUAUAUAGAUAAAUUUCCAAUAUUGCCUAAACCUCAACCACAAUAUAGUAUCCGAUAUCCCCCAAUUUAAAACAAUAAAUUAAUAUUCUAUUCCCACAAAAUCAACUUAACUCAAGUAGCGGUUAAGACUCAUCAAUAAGGUCAUUUUAAUCCCUUUAGAAAGGUGAAACUAUCUCGGAAGACUCACGGUCAACCAAGAGUCAAACUACUCAAACUUGCUCAAACGGGCCCACAACCCCCAAAUUUCCGAAAGUUCCUAUGGGCUCUACAAGGAUCAGGAUACACUUCCUGCAAGUUUGGUUCAGAUCGGACGGUCGGAUCGCUCACGAUCGCACGAUCGGACGGUUAUUGUAAAAAUAGCCAUAGGAUUGGCACUUUCGGAGUGUCCGGGACUCCGUUUUACGAUCCGUCGAAUCCUAUACGAUCCUAAAGAUGCCUCGAUUAUCAUAUAUCAAAUUGGAGUUGAUCCAACGGUUUGAACAUGUCAAACCGGAUAACGCCUAUUAUGCGAUAUCCGAUUGACGAUCAAACGAUAACCAAAUUCAAAUCCGAGCAUACCGUCAUGCUCGGGACAACAAGAGGGUUAUUUUGAAACUCUAAGACAGGCCACCACAUGACCCACGCGCCACCCCACGCGCCGGCAGUGCGUAGGUGUCCAAAGAAAUUUCCGGCGGCCGGAAAAACUCCAAACCGCCGGCCAAGACUCCCAGGUUAGGUAAAUCACAUGUAGUGGAGCAACUUUUGUUCUUGAACCUACCUCAAAAAGUAGACGGAAGUGGCCGAAAACUGACAGAAUUUCAAUCGCUUAUUUAACCCCCUAAACACAGAAAUUUCUCAUUUCCCACACAACCAUCAGCUAGAACGUCUCGAGAGGUUGAGAAAGCAUACCUGGAUCGAAGAAAAUGGUGGUCGGAGGAGUCCGAACGAGCUCCGUGAAUUUUGGGUUAAAACCGGUCGGUUUUUGUCAUUUUUCGGUGAGCACAGGUGGUUCCAGCGGCUGAGGCUGGUCGGGAAGGAAAGAGUGAGGUGGCCUGGUUCUUUCGGGACCGGUACCUCCCGAAACGGUGGCCGGAUGCGACGGUGGUGACCCAAAAUCCCGGCUGAUGAAUAGUAACAGGGGGCUGUUUCUUGCGAAGGGAGAGGGAGGAAGCAGAAGAAGAAGAAGAAAAAGAAAAAGAAAAUUUAAAACUGCCCGGUUACUGUAGCACGAAACUGUUUGCUACACUAACAAAUUUUAAAAAUUACCUUUGCAUCCUUUUUGUUUUCAGACUUUUCCUUUUUCGUUACAACUCAAAAUUGGGCGUGCUGCAUGUCUACGAACUCAUGUCGACAAGCUCUACGUAAUGGUACCACUUACUUCUCCAAAAUCUUUUCGAAUCAGAAAAUAACCAAAAAACCCUUAUCCAAAGGGUAUAUUCGUAAAUUCAUAUUUAAAUUAAUUUAAUAAUUUAAUUGGGUAAAUAAAUUAGGGUCGGGGUGUUACAUAACUUGCAAACUAAUAGUUUCAUGUUCGAACUCUCAUGGCACCUUGGUAAUGUGCGUGAGAAAAUCCCCUCCUUAUUCCUAACUUUGGCAACCAAAAAAAAAAAGCGAGUCAUCAGGCCAUCAUAUAAAUUCAUCUCUUGUUGUUCGAUCAACAAAAAAAACUCAUCUUGUUAUUUUUUAUUUCAAAAUUAUUUAAUGAAUGCGUAGAACAAUAUAAUAAUGUAAAUAUAUUGGAUUAUUUAUCAUUAAACAUCAGUAAAAUUUUAAAAAUAUAGACAAUAAAAUGUUAUUAUAUAGUAUGAUGUACUUGCCAUUUUAAGUUUUUUUUUUUACUAGUAAGUAUACAAAACAUAUUUUAUUAUGUACAAGGCAUAUUAGUAAUCAAAUUGAUUUUGAUUCCUAUUACUGAAUACUUACAUAAGAAUGAUAUAAUAAUUAGUGGAAAAAAAAGAGGCCUGGUUUCAAACAAAGUACUAAUUACAUGAGUGGGAAAUAUAACUUCUGUUUACUUAUGUUACUCCAUUAAUAAAAUAAUAUAUUAAUUUGUAGCAACUCCGAUCUCUUGGACCAUAAGGGUCCAAGAGAUUUGUGGUCACCCACCGUUGAAUGUUAAUCUAACAGUUCAAAAGUUUCUUAAAAGGAGUACAAAAGCGAGUGAACCGCUGAAUUUACAUCCAACGGUGAGUGACCAUAAAUUUCGUGGACUCCUGUAGUCCAAGAGAUCGAGACUGUAAUUUGUAGAGGAAAUAGGUAACAAAUUUCCUAAAACCCUUGCUAUAUAUUUCUGUCCUGAAAGAUUUAAGGAGCCUCAAAUUUGGAUAUUGCAACCACUUGAGACGUUAAUUAAUUAGACUUUAGAGAACGGUUAGGAUAUUGCAAUUUUUGGAUAUUAUAUAUUCUUUCUCUACUUUACCUUAAUGACUCAUAAUUACCCACUAGCACUGUAACACAGCUUCAAGUUGAAGCCAUGGCAGAGGCGUGGGAGGGGAGAAAGACUACGUAUUUUUAUAGUGUUAUCUCUGACUAAUAAUACUAUAGUAUUCGUGAUAAUACUUCGAUGUGGCAUAACAUUAUUGGCCGAAAAUAACAAAAUAAUACUAUCUCCAUUACAAUUACGUUUUUAUCCGUGGGCUGCUCUUAGGCUUAUCUAGUCUUUAAAAUGCAGUUGAAGAAUUUAUUAUUAUAAAAAUGACGUGAGAGAGAGGGAGGGGGUCAUAUAUUUUCAGAAUAAUUUUGCUAAAAAACGAAAGCAGAAGAAUUAAUUAUUAUGAAAAUGACGUGUAAUAAAACCACAGGUUGUGUGACAUUGCCGUACGGUACAUGCAGUCGGUGAGUCCACAGAUGACCAUGCAUUUGUUUUGAGUCGGAUUAAGCAGUGAAUGGGGGCACUAGUUGUCCAUCUUUAUAUGACCCAAUGACUUAAGAUAUCUAUAUGCAUAGAGACUUUUAAAAAGUAGAAGCAAUACAGCCUUAGAAAGGCAGUGCGUGCAUGGAAAAGGAUUAUCUGGUCCCGAUAUAAAUUUACGGUACCUAAUACAUUAGCGCUAAUUGAUAAUUUUUUGAUACUCUAAUGAUAAGAUUGACAAUUAGUGUCGAAUUGAGAAUAUAUCAGGUACGAUAAGUGUCGAAUUGAGAAUAUAUCAGGUAUGAUAAAUUGAUAUUAAAUAUUUAGUCGGUAGUUGGUAGGUACUUAGUAGCUAUUAAGUAAAUAUUAUAUGAGAUAUGAAGAUCAACAUGAAUUAUAUCUUUGUAAUUAAGUAGCUAUGCUUGUAUCUGGUCUCGAUUUGUAUAUCUAUUAUUAGGUAAAAUACUUUGAGAAAGCACAAAUAGUUUGUGGACAUGAGCGAUAGAUACUGUGGUUGGAUUAUCAACAAUGACAGUGUGAACGACUUUUCUUCAUGGUGUGCUUUAGCUACAUCUUCUACGCUUCUGCGUUGGUCACAUUCAUGUAAUCUUGAACAUGAAGCAACGUACCACAAAGGCUACCAAAACUUUAAUAACUGUGGACCAGAAGGAAGCAGUAUAUAGGUCCUACUACCUGUGCAUUUUUGCUGACUAAUAGUUUGAUGCUUAAGGUAAAUCCAAUACAAUUAGUGUAAAUGUCGUUUUACUAUAUAAUUAGGUAUAUCCAAUACAAAAUAAAUCUUUAAUCUUGAACAUAUUUAUAUAGGGGAUUCUAUGACUCACAAAGAAAACCUACGGAUACAUUUAUGUUUAUGUUUAAUCUCAUUUUCUCUUUUGUAAUUCCAUCUACUUUUCAUAAGAGUUUGUUUGAAACAACUUAUAUAUAAAAACUACGCUUGUUUUUAGAUGAUUAUUGUGGUAGGAUGUAAUCAACAAAAUAGACAAACACGGUAUUUCAAGAAAAGAAUAUAAUAAAAACUAUCUAAUUGAAUGAUCAAAUAGUUUCGGAUCCAAGUGAUUGUCGCAGAGAUGAUCUUUGAAGAAAUAUCUAAAAACUAGAUGGUAUUGGAUUAUUGAAAUGCAUGGUGAGUCUUAUAAGGGUGUCUUUCAAAUAAACUUAUUUGAGAAAUCCCUCAACUAAAGCCAUAUCAGUCUCCUUCUCACAAUAUUUAUAUACACACCACACCUUUUGUGAAAAUCUAAAAAUGCUAAAUUAGAAAUGAAAACUGACAGUUAAAGAACUCUCAUGAUCACUCUACAAGAUUGUGACCUGAAUGAUGAAUCAGCAGCUUAAGUUCACCCCAUUAAUAAAAUCUUUUGCCGUUCCCAUCCCGCCUCUAAUAAAAGCUUACUUAAUACGUAGUCCCAUCAACCCCUACCAUCAAAGUAGGGGUUGAAUUUGGUGCUCUUUAGCCUUUAAUCACCACAAGAGUCACAAAUUCUUCUCUCUCCUUAUCUUUCCAACCCCACUGAUAUCUCAGGCAGGUCUAUAAAUAGGAAGAACCAAGCCAUAUUAUACUCACUCAGCAAUCAUCUCUUGCAUACUUUCAUAUAUACAUUAUCGUGCUUCUUGUUAAGCAAAACAUGGCAUCCUCAAAGGCUUUUCUUCUUCUUGGUCUUGUCUUUGCUGUUCUCCUCAUCUCCUAUGAGGUCUUAGCUAUUCCAACUCGUGAGUUUCUCACUUUCUUAACUAAAUCAUAAAUAUUAAAUUAGUAAUUGUAUCUUUCUUUCCAGUAACGAUUUGUGAAUUUAUGCACAUUUUAAUUAAGGUGCACUGGUCGUGAAAAUAAUUAUGCUUCGAACUCUUUUUCUACAUGUAGGGUUAGUAGUUGUUGCACUUGCAUGGCUUAAUUUGCAUCUUAUUAAAUACAAACCGAUUUAUGAUUGUUAUAAGUUAUGUAUAUUGUUUUUGCUUUAUAUAUAAAGUUUUUGGUUGUUCUCUCAGAGUCAGAGGAGAGUACAGUCAACGGUGAUGCCCGCGGAUUUGGAGGUCAUGGCCGCGGAUUUGGAGGUCAUGGCCACGGACAUGGAGGUCAUGGCCACGGACAUGGUGGUCAUGGCCACGGACAUGGAGGUCAUGGGCACGGACAUGGAGGUCAUGGCCACGGACAUGAAGGGUAUGGCCACGGACAUGGUGGAUAUGGCCACGGCGGCCACGGCCACCACGGCCACCACGGCCACCAUGGCAUAGGGAGGCCUGGUGCUGCUGAGACUGAAAUCAAGAAUUAGAUAACCUGUUAGUUUCUGUGACUUACGUUGCAGGUGUGUUGUAAGGGUAGCAGUACGAAAUAAAGUUGUUUGGUUGAGUAAUCUAUAUGAACUCUCAAUCAUAAACUGUCCUAAGCUUGUUCUCAUGUUUCUCAUGUUCUCUGUAAUGUACGCAUUGUAAUGUACGCAUUGGAAUGUGUUCUCUUGUUAUGUGAUAAAAUGUGAUGUAACUUUCUCAAUACAUAUUAUGUCAAAAAUGUUUAGUGUGGCUUGGCUCCUUAAAAUUGAGGGGGAGCACAUCCUCAUAACAAAUGAGAUUUUGGCACUAGUUAAACUUCAAAAAAAUAAAAAUAAAAAGAGGUUAAAAGAAUUCAAAUGAAAAAAAAAAUUAAAGGAAUUUGCCAAGUGUCAAAACUCUAUUUCUUUUGAGGAGGAACUGCUCCUCAGUUUUGUGGAGCCAAACUUUUUCCUAAUAUUAAUGGAGUUCAUGUAGACUCAUUUGUUUUGGGUACCAAAUUUAAUGAAUUGUGUAUUCAUUGGUGGACCCAUAAGCAUACAGUUUUUAAUUUAGGUGAGAUACUCUCGGCAAUUUAAAUCAUGUCAAAAACAUGAUAUCAAAAAAAAUCAGCCGUCAUCGAGUUUGUAGAUAAAGAAAUAAUAUAUAUGAAUGAACGUAAGCUAUAGAGAAGAACAUUUUGUGGAAAACUAGAAAUUUGUAGGGAGAAAUAAGAGGAAGAAAGGGAGUAUAAUUUGCUCAAAUAAACUUGUAUUCCAUUCAUAUUUGGUGCCACUAUUUAUAGGGGUAGAGAGGCCUAAAUCAUUUACCACCAAUAAUUGAUAGGUGACAAAUAUAUAAUGAUGAGUAUUAUGAUAGGUUAAUAGUGGCCAGUAAUUGGGGAGGGUUCCCUCUCUCUCUCUGACUCCCUCACUUUGGAUUCUGUAUUGAUUGUUCCAUCCUUACAUCAUAAUCUCUUAUAUGUUGCCCAAAUUACUACAUCUUUGAAUUGCAUUGUAACCUUUUGGCCUACACAUUGUGUUUUUUAGGACAUUCUCAGCAGCAAGACGAUUGGUUGUGGUACUAGGACGGGCAAACUCUACUAUCUGGACUUGGCAUCUGACAGUGAAGCCAGCCUCAGUCAAGCUUACAAAAUUGGGGUUACGAGUGUUGAGAAGCAAACUUUCGGAGUAUGGUUAUGACAUCGCCGACUUGGACAUGCUUCAUUUGGAUAUUUACAGAAGCUAUUUUCUUCCUUAUUUUUCCAGUUAGAUAUCUCUAGUUUUACGUGUAACAUCUGUGAAAUAGCCAAGAGCCAUCGUGUUCCUUUCCCUUUAAGUUCACAUAAAAGUUUGGUUCCUUUUUCUCUUGUUCAUUAUGAUAUUUGGGGCCCGCUAAAAUUACCACUCUCGGGGGAGCUAGAUGGUUUGUCGCGUUUAUCGAUGAUUGCACACGUAUGACCUGGGUUUCCCUUCUUCAAACAAAAGGAGAAGUCAGUUUCAAGUUUCAACAGUUCUAUCACAUGGUGGAGACACAAUUUCAUACAAGAAUUCAAGUUCUUCGGUCUGACAAUGGCGGAGAAUUUUUCUACCAUAAUCUUACUCAAUUCUUACAAGAUCAUGGCAUCAUACAUCAACGCUCAUGCCCUUACACUCCCCAACAGAAUGGUGUGGCUGAACGAAAGAAUAAACACUUAUUGGAAGUGGUUCGUGCCUCUCUCUUUGGUGCCAAUAUGCCUCGGUCUUUCUGGGGAGAAGACGUCCUCUUUGUAGCAUACCUUAUCAAUCUGAUUCCCUCCAGUAUCCUUAAUUUCCAAACCCCCCCUUCAAACACUCUACCACCAUAUCCAAAUACCUUAUACCAAAAACCUAGAACUACGGAUUUUUGGUUGUGUGGUCUUUGUCUUCUUACAUGAUCACUAACACAACAAAUUGAAUCCCCGCGCCAAAAAGUGUGUUUUUAUUGGUUAUGCACCUCAUUAGAAAGGUUACCGGUGUUAUGAUUCUCCUAGUCAGAAGGUCUAUACUUCUAUGGCUGUUGUGUUCCGAGAACACGACAUAUAUUUUUCAGCCAUACAGGAGGAGCAUUGCGAUGCCAACACAUCUCAAAUUUCAAGACUUUUCCUUUCAGAAUUGUCACAUACUGAAAACGACCAGUUGCAGAAUGCAAGCGACCGGUCGCCGAAGACUCUGCCUGAAAACGACCGGUCGCCUAAGACUCUGCCUGAAAGCGACCGGUCGUCCCCCGGAAAUCCGAAUCUGCUUCAAAACGACCGGUUGUCUCUCUGUUGUCAAACUCAGGAGGAGAACAUUGAGGAGUUUUUGCCCGCUCAGGAGAAUUCUUUAACUCCAGUACCCCACCAAUCACCUGCUGAGGACGUCAUUCAGGUAACCUCUUUUCCUGAAACUAAUAACAUUAAUGAAAUAUCCUAUGAUGAUUUAAUUUCAGAAGGCACAUAGCCUACAUAUUAGAUUCCAAAAUGGAAGAACGGUGGAAAACCUUCAGUUCACUACGAAGCAGACCUUAAUGCAAAAUGGAAAUAUCCCAUCGACAAUUAUGUAUCCAUCAGUAGAUUAUCGGAAUCACGGGUACACUUUGUGAAGCAGUUGGAUGGCAUACCUGUUCCCAACAAUGUAACUGAAACACUAGAAGACUCAACAUGGAAAGAAGCCAUGAAUGAAGAAAUGCAAGCUCUUCAGAAGAAUGACACAUGGGAACUCGUGCCAUUACCUCAUGGAAAGAAGACUGUCGGAUGCAGGUGGAUUUAUACUGUGAAACUCAAAGUAGAUGGAUCCAUUAAAAGAUAUAAAGCUAGAUUGGUGGGGAAAUGCUACACACAAAGAUAUGGGAUAGACUACCAUUAGACUUUUACCCCAGUAGCCAAGAUUAAAACUAUCAGAGUUCUUCUAUCUUUAGCAGCAAAUCUCGAUUGGCCAUUACAUCAGUUUGUUGUAAAAAAUGCAUUCUUACAUGGAGACUUGGAAGAAGAAGUAUAUAUGGACUUGCCACAAGAAUGUAACUUAGCUCGUGACAAGGAGAAUCAAGUUUGCAAGCUCUGAAAGUCAUUGUAUGGGUUAAAGCAAUCCUCUAGGGCAUGGUUUGGCAGAUUCACUAAAUCUAUGAAGAAUUUUGAAUAUAUACAAAGUAAUGUAGAUCACACCUUGUUCUUGAAGCAUGAUGGAAGAAGACUUACUGCACUGAUUGUUUAUGUGGAUGACAUAGUCGUAACUGGAAACGACACAGAAGAGCAAUUGACACUGCAGAAAUAUUUGUCUCAGGAAUUUGAGAUGAAGAAUCUAGGUGAUCUGAAGUACUUUAUAGGAAUUGAAGUAGCUAGGUCCAAAACUAGUAUAUUUCUGUCUUAAAAGAAGUAUGUAUUAGAUCUGCUCACUGAAAUAGGAAUGCUUGGAUGCAAACCUGCUGAUACACCCAUCGAGAUGAAUCACAAGUUAUGUGAAGACAUGGAUCAAGAACCAACCAAUAAGGAACAGUACCAACACCUUGUUGGAAGGUUGAUAUAUUUAGCUCACACAAGACCAGAUAUUGCAUAUGCUGUGAGUAUGGUUAGUCAGUUUAUGCAUUCACCCAGUGUGUCCCAUAGGAAUGCAGUUGAUCGGAUCUUAAGAUACUUAAAGUCAGCACAUGGAAAAAGGGUUAACAUUCUAAAAAAAUAGAGAUCUCAAAGUUGUUGGAUAUACAAAUGCUGAUUGGGCUGGCUCCGUUACUGACAGACGCUCUACUUCAGGUUACUUCACUUGUGGGAGGUAACCUAGUCACUUGGCGGAGUGAAAAACAAAAUGUGGUUUCUCGAUCUAGUGCUGAAGUAGAGUAUUGAGGAAUGGCUCACGGAGUUUGUGAAUUACUAUGGAUCAGAAGACUAUUGACAGAAUUGGGGUUUAAGCCAGGAAAGCCAAUGGAGUUACAUUGUGAUAACAAGUCAGCCAUCGAUAUUGCCCAUAGUCCAAUUCAACAUGAUCGAACUAAACAUGUUGAGGUGGAUAGACAUUUUAUCAAAGAAAAACUUGAGAAGAAGAUCAUCCGCCUACCGUUGGUAAAAUUAGAAGAUUAGUUGGCAAAUAUCUUAACCAAAGCUGUUUGUGGAAGAGUAUUUUCUGACUCACGUACCAAGUUGGGCAUUGGUGACAUAUAUGCACCAACUUGAGGAGGAGUGUCGACUUGAGUCUCCUAAUUAAUCAAGGAGGUUUACUUCCUUGAUUAAUUAAGGGAUUUACUUUCCUAUUUUUUAUAUAGUUGAUAAAUCAUUGUAUAAUUAGAAGAUACUUGCCUAAUUCUUUACUGUAUCUAAUUCCUUGUAUAGCACCCUGUAAACUCUUAUAUAUACCUCAUUAUGGAGAAGAAUAAAGUUAACCUAAUACAUUCAAAUCAUAUUCAUAUUUUAGCAUUCUCCUCAUCUCCUCUGAGGUCUCAACUACUCCAACUCGUGAGUUUCUCACUUUAAAUUAGUAAUUGUAUCUUCCUUUCCAGUAACGAUUUGUAAAUUUAGGCACAUUUUAAUUAUAAGGUGCACUGGUCUUGAAAAUGAUUAUGCUUCGAACUCUUUUUCUACAUGAAGGGCUAGUGGUUGCACCUGCAUGGCUUAAUUUGCACCUUAUUAAAUACAAACCUAGCUAUGAUUGUUAUAAGUUAUGUAUAUUGUUUUUGCUCUAUAUAUAAAGUUUUUGUUUGUUCUCUUAGAGGAGAGUAUAGUGGUGGCGGAGCCACUUCUAGGCCAGGAGCGGCCCUGGUCCCUUUAUUUUUUUUGACUUCUCUCCUAUAUUAUAUAAUGUAAUAUAUACAACUUACUAAUAGACAACUUGUAAUUCAAAUUAAUGGCCCCUUUAAAAAUAAUUAGGCAUGACUAAUUUUGAAAAUUUUAGCUCUAACAUGUGUUUUGAACACUUAUAUGUAUUUGAUAUACUUGUGUUUUCUAUCUUGGCCCCCUCAAUCUUAAAUUUCUAGCUUCGCCCGGUGAUGAUUUUCUAGAUGACCAUGGUGACGGACGUGGAGGGUAUGGCCACAGACAUGGAGGGUAUGGCCAUGGCCACCACGGCAAAGGGGGGCCUUGUGCUGCUAAGACUGAAACCAAGAAUUAGAUAACCUGUUAGUUUCUGUGACUUACGUUGCAGGUGUGUUGUAAGGGUAGUAGUACAAAAUAAAGUUGUUUGGUUGAGUAAUCUGUAUGAACUCUCAAUCAUAGACUCGUCUUAAGCUUGUUCUCGUGUUCUCUGUAAUGUACGCAUUGGAAUGUGUUCUCUUGUUAUGUGAUAAAAUGUGA
rnacentral:lncRNA from 1 species